AGAUUAGCUAGUUGGUGGAGUAAUAGCCUACCAAGGCAAUGAUCUAUAGCUGAUCUGAGAGGAUGAUCAGCCACACUGGAACUGAGAUACGGUCCAGACUCCUACGGGAGGCAGCAGUGGGGAAUAUUGGACAAUGGGCGAAAGCCUGAUCCAGCCAUGCCGCAUGAGUGAAGAAGGCCUUCGGGUUGUAAAGCUCUUUUAGUGAGGAAGAUAAUGACGGUACUUACAGAAGAAGUCCUGGCUAACUCCGUGCCAGCAGCCGCGGUAAUACGGAAAGGGCUAGCGUUAUUCGGAAUCAUUGGGCGUAAAGGGCGCGUAUGCGGAUUAGUAAGUUAAAAGUGAAAUCCCAAGGCUCAACCUUGGAAUUGCUUUUAAAACUGCUAAUCUAGAGAUUGAAAGAGGAUAGAGGAAUUCCUAGUGUAGAGGUGAAAUUCGUAAAUAUUAGGAGGAACACCAGUGGCGAAGGCGUCUAUCUGGUUCAAAUCUGACGCUGAGGCGCGAAGGCGUGGGGAGCAAACAGGAUUAGAUACCCUGGUAGUCCACG
rnacentral:rRNA from 1 species